rfam:Triticum aestivum genome assembly, contig: Triticum_aestivum_CS42_TGACv1_scaffold_194531_3AL
CACGUACUUCCUCCGUUCCGAAUUACUCGUCACAGAAAUGAAUGUAUCUAGAUGUAUUUUAGUUCUAGACACAUCCAUUUCUACGACGAAUAAUUUGAAACGGAGAGAGUACUUU